rnacentral:rRNA from 1 species
GACGUAGGGCGCAAGCGUUGUCCGGAUUUAUUGGGCGUAAAGAGCUCGUAGGUGGUUUGUCGCGUUGGGCGUGAAAUUCCCUGGCUUAACUGGGGGCGUGCGGGCGAUACGGGCAGACUGGAGUAUUGCAGGGGAGACUGGAAUUCCUGGUGUAGCGGUGGAAUGCGCAGAUAUCAGGAGGAACACCGGUGGCGAAGGCGGUUCUCUGGGCAGUAACUGACGCUGAGGAGCGAAAGCGUGGGGAGCGAACAGG